UCACCUCGAAACUUGUGCCUCAAGGUAAAAACCUGCUCAAGCACCAAAACAAACAAACGAAUGAAAUUUUUCUGCCCCAGUUUUCACUAGGAAAAUUUCGUGAGUUAUUGCAACAAAAUCAACUAUUUCUUUAUUGAAAGCAAUAAAAUCAGGAUUGUGUAUACUUGAGGAAAAGAGAAUAGGGAGUGGAGACCCUAUAUCUAAAAUGAAACCAAAUGGGGAACGGAGGCCCUAAGUUGGAAAGAUUACCAGGUUAUGCUGGCAUCACCUAGGGAGUGAGACCCUAUACUGGAAAAGACUACCAGGUUAUGCUGGCAGAGUCAUCGGGUUAUGCCAUAAAGGACCUCGGGUUAUGCCGGAAAAGUCAUCGGGUUAUGCCAGAAAAGUCCUCGGGUUAUGCUAGGAAAGUCAUCGGGUUAUGCCAGGAAGUCAUCGGGUUAUGCUGGAAAGGUCCUCGAGUUAUGCCAAGGAAGGUCAUCGGGUUAUGCCGGAAAGGUCCUCGGGUUAUGCUGGGAAAAUUCAUCGGGUUAUGCCGGAAAAAGGUCCUUUGGUUAUGUCGGAAAGGUCAUCGGGUUAUACCGGAAAGGUCCUCGGGUUAUGCCGGGGAAGGUCUAGGGAGUGAGACCCUAUACUAGAAAAAGACUACCAGGUUAUGCUGGCAGCGACUAGGGAAUGAGACCCUAUGUUGGAAAAACGUAGCUAGAGAUUGGGACCCUAGGCUACCAUGAUUUUGAUUUUUUCUUCUUCUUUUCUUUCUCUUCUUUUCUUUAUUUUUUUACUUCACUUUUAAUUUUAUUUUGGAGAAUGAAUGAAGAGUUUUUUUAAAAAAAGGACUUCCCUUUUUGGGUCAACUUUUGCUGCAGAACCGUUUUGAUUUUUGCGUGCCUUGCUUUUAUUGCACCUGCUUCUUGCAAGGUUGCUUUUGGAUUUGCACCCGUUUCCUGUUUUUCAAACAAAGAAUAAUUUGUCAGUUUGAAACAAUGGUUGGUUUUGUGGCCUUGAUUAUUUCAAUCACUUGUUCUCGGCCCUAUUCAUCUGCAACUGUUUGUUUCCUGAAUACCGAUUUCAUUUCUGACCCCGAAGGACCUCUGCAUAUGCAAACUUUACCAUGACGGUUUGUAACGUAGUACUCCACCUUUUCGACUUUAUUUUGCCUCUAUAGGCCCUUCCCUUCUGAAUUGUUGUUUUUUUUCUUUUUCCUUCAAGCAUUGGGGAACUUUUGGCUCCUCAAACUUGCUGCAAUGACUAGUCGCGUAAGACUUAACCUUUUCCAACUUUAUUUCGCCUUUAUAGGCCUUUCAUUUCUGGCUUCUUUCUUCCAACUUCAAUUUCAGAGCAUUUGGGGUACCUUGGCUUUUCAAGCUUUUGCCGAGACGGUUAGCCACGUGGUACUCAACCUUUUUAACUUCAUUUUGCCAUUGUGGGCAUUUGACUUUGAUUUCCUUUCUUUUUAGGAGUUUUUCAGUUUCAAAACAAUAGCCGCCAUGGCUGGUCGAAGUCGACUUAAUGCCCCUGACGAGACUGGGUGCCUUGUUGCACAUUAGCUUGCGUCAAAUGAGAACCCUAUAAACCAGUCUUGCCAUUCCUUCUUUGUCUCAGUUCCAAAAUAGAGUUAGACCGAAAGGGAUUCAAAGAAAAAUAAACAAUGGACAAGAUAAUGAAUUUGAACGAGAGGUAUCCCUUUCGGGAGAAGAAAUAAGGACUUAUCUGGAGUGCAUGCGGACUUCAAUGAACAUGCCAUGCCUUUUGGACUGGAUGCCUGAUCUGUGUAAACCGUCCGACUCUCAGAAAUUCAUCACAACUUUGCCUUGAAAUCGAGAAACUAUGCCAGGACUCUGUCGAUGCCGAUGGCUAUGAGGAUCCUCUUUUCUAUCAGGGGUGCCUUUUGCGGGUUUUCACCAGCUAACCUCUCUCAUUUCUCUUCUCACCAUCGCCUUAUAGUGCUCUUUGUGAAUUUUCACUAACAAGACUCUCUCAUUUUCAAUUUCUCUGCUUACCAUUGCCUUAUGCCUGUGUGGGUUUUCAUCAAUAAGACUCUUUCAUUUUAUUUCUCUCAUUUUGAUUGCAUUGGAUCCAAGUAGCUGUAUUCUUCGAUCCUUGAACAUUCUCACCGAUUGAUCAUAAGGACUUGAAAGGAUUUGGGUAAAAAUGAUUUGGACUGAAUUACAACUUUGGAACCAUUUAGGCGGUAUCAUCGCCAAACCAUUAUAACAUCUGCCCCAGUUUCACUUUUGGGGAAUUUGGAUUUUUAUUUUGGUAUGACUGAACCGCAGAGAGAGGUUGCCUACGUAUCCUUCCGGAAUCAAGUCGAACGUAGUUCAGGAAACUUUGUUUUUGAUUUUCUUUUGUUUUUUUUUCUUCUGUUUCUUUUUCCUUUCCUUUUUUUCAUCUCUUUUUUUCAUUCAUUUUUUCAUUUCAAUUUCUCUUUUUUUAACUUUCUUAUCNNNNNNNNNNNNNNNNNNNNNNNNNCAUUUCAAUUUCUCUUUUUUAACUUUCUUAUCUUUUUUUUUUCAUUUCAUUUUUUUUCAUUCUUCAUUUCAUUUUUCUUUCAAUUUUUUUCAAUAACACUUUCAGGUUCCAAAAAGGGUAGUCAAAGAAUAGGAGCCUACUCAAAGGGUUUGCAAAGGUUGAAUAUUUGUAUAGUGAGAAAGAAAGCAUUCUUCACCCCAAUUGGAGAACAUUAAUGCUAUAUAGAGGAUCCAACAUAGUACCUUUUGACUGCAUUUGCAUUGACAGUUGUUUCAGGGACAUUUCCUUCGAUGUGUCCCAAGUACAACACACUCUUUUGACAGUACUCUUGUUGCAAUGUAUGGACCUUUUCAAUCUGGAACCAAUUUUCCUUCAGAUGUUCCGAAUCUUUGUUUUAUUUCCUUAAAGUUAUCUUCAUUGCGAUCUAAUUCUUGUUCAUUAUUCGGGGUCUGACAACUUUCAGGAUCCGGGCAUGAAGUCCGUAAGCAUGUCAUGUUAUUGAAAUCUGCAUUUAAUGGAACUGAAAAGAGAAUAAGAAAAGUGACAAGAUUAAGAAAAGAGACAUUCCUGGAUAGUGAACUAUUAAUUUCACUUGAUUUUUUUUUGUUUUUCUUUUUUUUUGUUGAUUUUGAUGAUUUUGUUUUCGAAUUUUAAAAGAUGGAAGGGUUAACAUCGGAAAGUAAGACAAUAAAGUAAAACAUCCGGAUCACAUCCUGAGAUAAUCUGGAUGCAGAAAAGAUAGCAAGAUUGGCUACCGAGACUCCUGUCUGAUGGGGAACUUUCAGGCUUGACGACCAUUUUUUGGCUUUUUUUCUGUCUCGGCAAUGGCUGCAAUGACCUUCAGUGCCGGAUCAAAUUCUUCAUCUUUCCAAAUCAUUCCGACUACUGGCCCAUUUAUGAGAGUAGGCGGAGGAUUGUUCAUCAUAUUAGGAGCCUCUUCGUCCCGGAGAACGAUUCUUUCAGCUUCAAUCAAGUCUUCAACUACCCUUUUGAGGGUCCAACAUUCCUCCGUAUUGUGUCCCACUGCUCCAAAGUGGUAUUCACAUCUAGCAUUAGCUUAGUGCGAGGGGACUCGGGCUUUGGCCAGUUUUGGGGCCACUGGCUGUAGCAGACCUCGCUUGACUAGCUUUUGGAACAAGCCUGAGUAUGAUUCACCAAUUGUGGUGAACUGAUUUCUUUUUGAAACGCUCUCUUGGGUGAGGAUUGUGCCGGGAAAUAUUUGAUUGGGAAUUAUAUGGAUCUUGGUAAGGAUGAGCAUUUCUGGGGAGUGGAGCUCGAUUUUGUGUAUAAUGUUGUGGCCGCGUGUAAGGUUGCACAUUCAUCACCGCAUACCAACAAAAUAAACCACCUGAACAGAAGCUGGCUAACUUGCUCACAUCACAACCUUGUUAGUUUUGAGACAUUCAACAUAUAGGAAAUCGCACGUUGGGAUGCAAUGCACCUAACAGUUAAACGCUUCUACCAUGUGUUUGAAUGAUUGCAGGUUUCAUCCCGGCCUUAACUAACACUUUUAGUAUGUACCUCUUUUCUUUUAUUUCUGCCUCUAUUUAGUCACUCUUAAUUGUUUAUUCGUUUCUGUCGCUCUUUUAUUUUUUGGCACUCUUUUUUUUCCACUCUUUUAUUUUGUCACUCUUUUUUUUUCACUCUAUUUUUCUUUCUUUUUUUUUUCGAUUUAUUUUAUAACUAUGAUCAAAUCCGAUGGGGAUUGCCUACGUAUCAUGACGCCGCAUGAAUCAUAUCUUGCGUAGUUCGGGAAGAUCGGGAAUAAAGUAAAUAAGCUAACUCUUUUUUUUGUUUACUUUUAUAAAACCCAAACCAUGAAAGCUUUAAGAAAAAGAAAAACAUAUAUAUAUAAAUAUAUACAUAUAUUUUGAAUUUUUGUUUUAUUGUUUUUUUUGGGAAUUUUCGAAAGAAAUGCUUUAAAAGAGAGGAAAUUUUUUUUUUUUUGGAAUUUUGAUUUUGAUUUUGAUUUUUUGAUUUUUAUUUUUUGAAAGAAAGACUUCUAAAAAUUCCUUUUCUUUUGAUUUGCACUUUGGGAAUUUCAAAAGUAAAAGGAAGAUAUUUUUGUUUGAAUUUUUAUUUAUUUUCUCUUUUUCUAAAGAAGAAAGAUAAUAUUUUUUUGGAUUUUGGAUGUUGCCUCUUAAUUUUCGAAAGAGGGACUAUUAAGAAAAUAUUUUGGAUUUCUGAGUUUUUUUUGUUUUUAAAUUUAGAAAAGUACUUCUAAAGAUAAACGAAAAUACAUUUGAACUUCAAUUUUUUUUUAAAAUUGUUUUUUGAAAGAAAGACUUUUAAACAAGGAAAAGAUUUUUUUUAAUUCUUUUAUUUUUAUUUUUGAAUUUUUAGGAAAACAUUUCUUAAAAAGGUAGAAAAUAUUUUUUUUUUGAAUUUUGAUUUGACUUGAGGAUUUUCGAAAGAAGGACUUUUAAGAAAAUAUUUUGGAUUAUUGAGUUUCUCUUUUUUUUCUUCUCUUUUUUAAUUUACGAAAGUACUUUUAAAGAAAAGCAAAAAAAAUUUUGGACUUUUAUUUCUCAAAUUUUUAUGGACAUUUAAAAAAAAAAACUUCUAAAGAAGAAAAGAAUAUUUUUCUUUGAUGAUUUUUUUUGGGAAAAUACUUCAAAGUAAAGGAAACCUGUAUUUUGGAUUUUGAUUUCUUAUUGUUUUUUUUUUUUUUUUUUUUUUACAUAUGAGACUUUAGAAAGAAGGAAACUACUUUUUGAGUUUAACAAGCCUUUUUUUUUUUGAAUUUUCUAAGAAAAGAUUUCUAAUGAAGGAACUAAAGGAAAAUAUUUUUGGAUUUUUGAAACUUGGGGUCAGAACCGAUGAGUUUUGCCUACGUAUCUCACAUCCGGUGAAAAUCAGACCCGCGUAGUUCGGUCAGUUUUGAUGGAACAGGGAAACAUGGAACUUGAAGAUUUUGGGCUUAUUUUGAAAUGACCUUGUCUUUUUCUUUUUCCCUUUUUUUUUCGGUAGAGUUUCGAAAUUUUUCAAAUACCUACCUCUCACUCUUAUUUUUGAUUUUUGAUUUUUUUUCUUUCCCUAUUCUAGAAGCCGGUCAACAUGCAAGCCGAAACAAACAAAUGCGCGAGUAGCACGUAAAAAUGCAUCAGGAUGGUCUUUUUAUUUCGGGUACACCUGUCCUAGACGGACCCAACCCUGUGUUGAGUCCCCAAAGUCAAAUGCACGUGAUGCAAACAAGCGUUCCUAUUAGGGAUCUUAUAUAAGGCUAUGUUAUAUUAGGUUUAAAAACUUGAGUGUAUUGUUCUAGACCUGGCUUACCCGAGCGGACAGCUCGAGCCGAGGGGGGCAACGUACUGGGAGUACAAAAGCUUCAUUGGCUUGCAACUUGUCCGAACCUCGUUCUAAGAUUGGGAUAUGACUCUAACAGAAAAGAAGUCACAAAAAGUGCACACUUCCCAGAUGAUUUAGAAGACUCAGAGAGAAGAAGGGUUUCGUAACAGUUUAUAUACGGUCAAAACAAUAUCAAAGCGGUAAAAAGUAGCAUUUAGCACAUUAAGCUCAAACAUGUAAAAUCAGAUAAUAAAUAAAGCCAAGUAUAAUAGUUAUUCUAAGCUCGAAUUCUUGAACCCUGAACCAGAAGUUCUGGGUUCUGAUCCCCAGCAGAGUCGCCAGAGCUGUCACACCUCCUUUUUACCACCCGAGAGGGUAUAUAAAGGAGUUUUCCCAAUUAAAGUGACAUAAAUCGAAAUGGGCAUAUUUUAUUUAAUUUUCAGAGUUGCCACAUGAGAUAUUUAUUAUGGUGUCCUAAGUCACUGGUUUAUUUUAAAAAUCCAAAUCGAGGAAAAUUAACUUUAUUUAAAAGUCUGCGAACCAGAAAUUCUAAGUAAGGAAUUCUCUUAACCCGGGAGAAGGUGUUAGGAAUUCCCGGGUUCCGUGGUUCUAGUACGGUCGCUUAAACUAUUAAUACUUGGCCUAUUAUCUGAUUUAUUACAUGUUUUAACCCUAUUGUGCAUUUUAGCUUUAUAACCACUUUUAAUUAUUUUAUGGAAUUAUUCUAGAACAAGUUAUGAUUGUCGUACACUUGUUUAUUUGAUACACAUUGCGAAUCAUGUCACGGGAACCGUACCCACAAUUCGUGACAUGUUUAUUUUAUUAAUGUUUGAAGUUGUUAUGAUCGGGUCACAUGAAAUGUACACCCGAAUUGGGAUUUACAUAUCGUGACCAUGUCACGGGAACCGUAUCCAUGACCACGAUGAUUUAUUUAUUAAUCGUGCCUAAAGUAAGCUACAAUGUUGAAUUAUUUUCUAAACUACUUUAAGAUUAUUGUGAAGGCCAAGGUUAUGGAAAUACUUUUACUAAAAGAGAUUUCAUGCUCAUUCCCUUUUAAAUUCUGUAUUUCAUGCACUUAGACAAAAUCCAAUCCUAAAACAUGUGAAGCAAGAUGAAAUUACUACGGACUCAAUCACCCCCCUUCCCAUAUACCCAUCACGUUCCGCACAAAUGUCCAAACAAAUAAAAUUGUCAUCCAGCCACUAAACACUCAAACUAUUGAAAAGGAGAUCAAAUGAUAGAUACACAAAAUUCUAGAAGUCUUGAGAGAAAUAAGUGAAAAAUGUAACGAAACCAUUAGAAGAGCCAUUAUAAUAUUCCUGACCACCCCAAUUUUCCUAAUGCUUCAACGUAUUAGUUACUAAGGCUCAUAUUUAAUCAAACUUAAAUUUACAAUUUUAUCUUAACAAACCAAUUACUUGUCAUACUCACCAAAUCUUAAUCAAUUUUAACUUCAAUAUUAGUAACAUGAAUAUCUCCAUCACAACCAACAUCUGACUACUACAGAUUAAAAAUCCAAUUCCCUUUUGAAAAGGCUCUUUCAAUAUUCCUAUACAACACAUUAAUAGCAAACAAAUAGAAGAAAGGGAAUGGAUGAACCUGAAAUGAUUUUCCUUUAAUAUAUAUAGAGAAUGCUAUGAAUUUGUGUACAAUAAAUAUUGUCUCGAAGCGCUAAGCUCAAACAGCAAAAGAAAAAUCGAGCCACAACCAAAAGUCGAGCCGGUGACUACAAUUUGAACAACAAAAUUCCAGACCGGAGCUUUCGAACAUCAAACGACUCAAACGUCGACUUCAAACAAGGAACCCGAAAUCAUUGGUAUCCUCUGGUUUAACAUAGAAAGAGUGGCUAUUUCAGGGUGUUUUUAUGGUUGAAGCUAUGGUGGUUUUUGGGGCUGGUUAAGGACUGUUUGAAGCCAUUUUUCAGCUUCGUUUUGGUGGUGUUUAAGAGGUGUUUCAGGGCUGAACUUUCUCUGGUUUUGAAAGCUUCAUGUGGUGGUGUUAAUGGAGGUUUGCUGGUAGUUUAGUGAAGGUUUUAUGGUUGUACUUUCAUGGCUGUUGGGACUGAUCUAAAAUGGAGUUCUUGGAGAAGAAGGCUGGCCUUCUUUCUUUCCUUUUUUCUUUGUUUUUUAUCUCUCAAAUUCUUUGUUUCUCUCCUGUCUCUUUUGCUUACUCAUUCAGUGUAGUUGAAUGGGGUGUCGCUUCUACUAGGUCUUCUGGAUGUAGG
rnacentral:lncRNA from 1 species